rnacentral:rRNA from 1 species
AUACGGAGGGGGCAAGCGUUGUUCGGAAUUACUGGGCGUAAAGCGCGCGUAGGCGGGCUGGUUAGUUGGGGGUGAAAUCCCAGGGCUUAACCCUGGAACUGCCUCUAAUACUGCCAGUCUUGAGUUCGGGAGAGGUGAGUGGAAUUCCUAGUGUAGAGGUGAAAUUCGUAGAUAUUAGGAAGAACACCAGUGGCGAAGGCGGCUCACUGGCCCGAUACUGACGCUGAGGCGCGAAAGCGUGGGGAGCAAACAGGAUUAGAAACCCUAGUAGUCC